rnacentral:rRNA from 1 species
CGGACGGGUGAGUAAUGCUUGGGAAUAUGCCUUAUGUGGGGGACAACAGUUGGAAACGACUGCUAAUACCGCAUAACGUCUACGGACCAAAGGGGGGGAUCUUCGGACCUCCCGCCAUUUGAUUAGCCCAAGUGAGAUUAGCUAGUUGGUGAGGUAAUGGCUCACCAAGGCGACGAUCUCUAGCUGGUUUGAGAGGAUGAUCAGCCACACUGGGACUGAGACACGGCCCAG